GAUGAAGAACGUAGCGAAAUGCGAUAAGUAAUGUGAAUUGCAGAAUUCAGUGAAUCAUCGAAUCUUUGAACGCACAUUGCGCCCGCCAGUAUUCUGGCGGGCAUGCCUGUUCGAGCGUCAUUUCAACCAUCAAGCCCCAGGCUUGUGUUGGGGACCUGCGGCUGCCGCAGGCCCUGAAAACCAGUGGCGGGCUCGCUGUCACACCGGGCGUAGUAGAUUUUAUCUCGCUCAGGGUGUGCUGAGGGUUCCGGCCGUUAAAAAGCCUUUUUUACCCAAGGUUGACCUCGGAUCAGGUAGGAAGACCCGCUGAACUUAAGCAUAUCAAUAAGCGGAGGA
rnacentral:misc_RNA from 1 species